GCUUUAAAACAAGCUGGAAUGUGGAGGAGUUUCAUUCCAGGUUGGUGUCUUUUGAAAUAUAUUAUCACCUCUCAAACUGAAAAAUCACAUGUGACAAAUAAUUCAUCUGCUUUGAUUAAGACAUCAGAUUAUUCCUCUUUACAGCUUUUAACAAUCUCUACACAUCUUCUACAAUGAUGUUUCACUCUUAUUUAAAGCAGCUUAACUGAGUUUUUUAUUUUCCAUUGCAUUUGGCGGCCGCUAUGGACAAAAGUGGUAGUGUUUUGCCGGUGUUUCAUCUCCUCAGAUCCAUAUAGUUAUAAGGAUCAGGACUCUGAAUAGACCAAGCAUAGAGCUGAGAUGUAAUGACUUUACUCUCAUAAUGUAAUGAUUGUAUCCUUGUAAGAAAAUGAUUUAACUCUCAACUUUAGUCUUGAAAGAAAUAAUCUUUAAAAUAAAAAUUUUAAAGAUUACUACCCUAAGUUUUCUAUACCCAAACCUACCCAAGCCUGCACUGAGAUGAUCCCCUCACAAAAGUGUGAGGCGUAUGUCCUCACAGUUUUCAGAUCAGACUAAGCUUAUUCAGAUGUUCUUCAAAAAAAAAAAAAAAAAAAAAAAAACGUAAAGAGAGCUACCAAAUCCUGGCAAGGAAAAAAGUGGAUUCAUGAACUCAGAAUCAGAUGAAACAUUUUUAACAACCAGGCCCUCAAAACUGACUUGGUAAUUUUUAUUAAGCUGAAUAAAAAUGGAGGUGAAACUAGAUGAAAAGGAAAGUGAAAAAGCUUCUCUUCGGUUAUUUUUCUUGGUCCCCAAUCGACAGAGUGAUUUUUAUCAGCGAACAUCAGAAUGUCGGAAAGGAGCGUGAGUCAUGGGGUAAACUGUUUCAUCUCACGUUCACCAUUAAAGUACUUAUAGUAAACCUGAUCCUUAACUCAAAGUAAAAAGAAUGACAAACUCUCCAUUAGAGACCAACGUUCAUGGAAAUUCCCGACAACAAGCAGCAGAGGAAGAGGCACACAAUAUUAGAGCUGAAUGACUGCGGAGAAGAAAUCCCACUUUACUCUGAUUUCCUGCUUAGGUACUUUCAGGUUAGAGGCUGAUUUAAAGCUGCAGUCACUCUUAGUGAGCUCUUUAAAGCGAUCUGGUUUUGGUUUCAGAAUCACUCAUUUUUUUAAAGAUUAUUAAAUAUUAACCGGGUAAACUGCUCACUGUCAGAUCUUUUUAUGUCCAGAACAGUUUAAUGACAAAAGGUUGCCAAUCCCUCACCAUAAACCAGCCUGAGUCUCCAGUUAGCUUCUUUACUAUGGUGGACGUAAAGGUAAAGGCUAAUGAAAUCUGUUCUACUGUUGAGCCAGUCUGUAUCCUUUUACACUAUUUUCAGAGCCUGUGAAACAUCUAGAAGAGUUUUGCCAAAAUAGUUCAACAAACUCACUGAAUUUGACUUUUGAACAUGAAACUUUCAAACUGCUUUCAGAGUUGACACAAACUUUCAUGAUGGGUGUCGGCGAGACAUUACAGCUUUUCAUCAGCUAAAGUAGUCACAGUUUAGCUGAAAACAUCCCAAAAAAACAACUUUCAAGAGUAAGUCUCAUUCAUGAAUUCUAUUCUUUUAUCGAUAAAGACAAUGCAAGUUUCGUAGUAUAACCUCCAACCAAACAAGCUGAAGUCACUGAAACUGUAGAUGUUUAUAGUUUCCAGCUGCUGCUCACUUUAUAAAGGCUUUUGGUUGAUUAAACGGAGAAGAAAGAUAAAAAUUACUGGUAGGGGAGACUGGGGCAAAUUGAGCCAAAGGAUAAGUUGAGCCACCCCCUGUUGCUUGGAAAUAUGACUGUUAUUUAGGGAGAGAGAAGGUGAGGGAGGGCUGAGGUGGAGAGUGGGGGGUGGUAGUAGGGAUACGGCUCAACUUACCCCACUUCUAUGGUCAACUUACCCUAUACACGGGGUAAGUUGACCUGGGAGACCACUUUUUUUGGCAUGCUUAUAUUAUGUUUACACUCAUUCUGUUGGUUUGCAGGGAUGCACAACAUCUUGAAAUAUAUGCAGAUACACUAGUUAGAGAUAAAAAUAUGAUUGCCUUGACGUAGUGAUCGGAAAUAUGAAAAAUGGCUCAUCUUUCCCCACUCUCCCCUACUUAAAAUAUUCUGCAUAAAUGAAAAAUGUGUUAUAAAAUCUUUAAAAAGAAGAUUAACAUAACAGGGUUAGUUUUUCAAGUCUGUGGGUAGAUUUUGCAGGUGGGAAAUGGUCAGUCCGGACACACAAAUCUUUGGGGACCAUCCACAGUUCUGAACGGGCAUUGGCUUUUAUUAGUCAGGACCCCAAAUGUAAAUGUCUUACCUCUUUUAUAGGAUGUACUGCUGGUCAUUACAGGUAGUUACACAAAAAGCUGCACCUAAACUUUAACUCGAUGGCUCUUUUAAGGGACAAAUGCACAGGGUACAUGAGCAAAGUAGACCAUGUUGGAGGGUUGUUGACCUUAACAUGAUGUUUUUAUCAUUUUUGUGUUGACAGUUCACAGGAACUCCUUAUUUGUUCUGGCAGCAGCUUCACUUUGCAAUUCCGAAACUUAACCUUCAAAUAUCUUCAAUGGCAAAAUGUUCGUUUGAGUCUAAGUCCAAGUCCAAGUCAACAUACUUGAUUAUUUCAACGUAAAGACACACUCUUACUCAACAAAAGGUGUGUAAGUGUAGAGAGGUACCACGGGGAAUACCUGUCAUUGUUUCGAAAAGGAAAGUGAACUAGCAUUCAAGUGCUACUGCGUCACAAAUGUCAUUGUUGUACAAUGGGCAUGAAUCACUCAACACCAAAACCUCCUGUGCAGCUGGAGGUUUAGAAACAAACACAUCACACUGCAGAUACCAUGGAAGUCCCAAAGACUUACCGGUAAGCUCGGCCUGUGUCAGCUCAGGUCAGAAUGAUUAUGUAAAGUUUGUUAAGAGGUUAAAUGUCGUGUCUUUUCUGGACAGCAGCAAUGUGCUGAGGAGACCUAAUGACAAACUGAAGGACAGCUGUUGUGAGCUCUCUAGUGUAAAAGUGGAUACUUGGUCUGAUAGUGGCUCCUGAAAGACCUUAUAAGGUCUCCUGGAUUUAGCAUCUGAGGGUCUCAAAGCCAGUAUCAGAGCACACAUAAGACUGACCAACAUUAGGAAGAACUUAUCUAACAAUGUAAAACUACUUGUGUGUCAUAAAUAAUGAGAUGUAAUGAAGAGAAGAGGGUUGGGGCCAAUAAAUAGGAUAGAAACAGUUAAGUCAAUUUUUUUUCCAUACAACUUCGACUUUUAUCUUACAAGUGAAAAGUUAAAACUCUGGCUUUUUUCUUAAACUCAAAAAAUGUUCCUAAUUUUCUCACUUUUUCCAAAAAAGGUAAUUUUUUGAAAAAUGUUUAAAAUCAGAAUUCUGAAGAAAAAAAGAAAAAAAUGUGACUUUAAACUAAGAAAUAUGACUCGAAACAAUCAAUAUGUUUAGAAAAAAAAGUCAGACAAUAGUACCUGGAAAUUAGUCCUGAUUUUGAAUUUGGCUUCAAAAUUCAGGACAAAAGUUGCAAUCUUAAGUCGAAAGUAAAGCUUCUUACUUUUGACCCAGAACUGUGAGAUAAAAAUGUGCUAUUUUUUUUCUUGGAAGUUUGUAGAUACGCUGUCAUGAAAUUUUGUUAAUACUUGAGUGAAAACUGGAGGCCAAAUCAAGGAUGUAUGUAUUAAUUAGCAACAGUUUUUAGUAAUAUCAGAUAUGUCACAAAAACAAUAGGAUCUAGCUCAAAACUUUAUGGUGCAUCUCAGUAUGAAAUGAUAUGUUCCACAUUGUGUAUUAAUUAAUUAUUAAUUGAUGCCUGCUCUGUUUUAACCCUGGGAUCUUUGCUGCUGCUCUCCCUCCACAUUUACAUGUGUACAUAUAUGAUGUAGGGGAAGUGUGAGUCUGGGAUAAAUGGUUUAAACUUGGCCUUAAUGAAACAACAUCUUUACCAUCAAUCCAGUGGCAGAAGUCACAGGCGCAGGUUAAUGAGUUCAGACUAGAUGACUUGGUGUCACUGUAACAUGUUUCUGUUCAUUUUUUUCUCUCCUUUGCAGAGCAGGAAUUUUCUCUCUCAUUACCAGCCUGCUUGUCUCAGUGGGACAUUCCUCCUCCUUCUCCUCCUCCUCCUUCUCUUCCAUCUCCUCUUGGUCUCUCCUGUUAGAAGCUGCACUGCAGAGCGUCACCUCUCAUUUGUCUCUGAAACAAUGGCACAGUUAUAUAACCACAUUCUUCACAUACUUUCCCCAAAAAAUUGUUUUUAACGAGACAGACUUUCAACCUUCAAAGUAAGUUUUGUUCCUGCAGAGUCAGACUGGGAUCUAACCAGUACUCCCAGUCAAUCUUCUGACACUGAGUGGACGUUCAUCAUACAGCUCUCUCACAGAAAUGUAAAAGGACUAAACUGUGGCGGUACUGUCUUAGACCAUCAAGUUCAUUUGAGUCCAAUUUGGUCCAGUUUAGCCUCAAUCUCUGAAAGUGGAGGGACAACCAAUUUGCAACCAUGACAACAGAAGACGUGUCAGGAAUUAAUAACGCAUUAUGGUGUGUUUUAAUGCACGAUUUUGUCAUAAAAAAGUCUAUGUUUUUAAAGGAGACUUUUCAUUUGAAUAAGUGUCUGUAUCCAGCUGCAUGCCUACAAAGCUUCAGAGAAAUUCAAGUGUUUGACCUGUUUGUUGGUGAGGGUAAAUCAGGAGUAGACACCUUCAUAUGCAGCUUUUACUUAUCUCACAAUCAUUUAUCUGCAGCUCUCUCUAAAUUGUUGUUUUUAGGGUCUGUUUUUAAUCGACAGGGAAAAAUAAUCUGUGGUUCACUUAGGACCAGAAAACUGUAAUCAAUGUGUCUGAACGUCUAAAUCAGUUUCAUUCUGACAUUAUUAUGAUGCUGCUGUAGGUAUAAAUGUGUGCAAAGAGGCAAAUGUAGUUUGAUUUCAUUCAUUGAUUGAUUCACAUCUUAACAACAAGAAAACAAUGAACAACAAAUGCUAAAACAUUUGGAGCCCCAAAAGGCUGAUGAAGAUGCCUUUCCUCUAAAACAGAGCUAAAAUAAGCAGCAGUGCAGAUCAGUUAAAAAGGAGCAAUGACAUGUUUAUUCCUUUAUAAGACAACUUUGUUAAGAAAGAAAACUUUCCAGAUGCUUUUUGAAGUAUGACAUAAGUUUGCUGAUGAUAGAAAUGGAGGUACAUUGGUCCACAGAGAUGCUCCUCUGUACUUUUGUGCAAGUUGAUGGAUGGUAAAAGUCCUCAAAGUGUUGUAAAUAAGUGAACGUCUGAUGAAGACUUGAAAAAAUACUGGACUAUAGGUGUACAUAUUUAUACAUUAACACACAGGUUUGCUUCCUGAAUCAGUGCACAAAAAUUUCGUGCAACACAGCAAGUGUCAUCAGCAAAUAAUUAAGCUAAAGCACAUUUACACAUCUUGUACAUAAGAAACAAUAGAUGUCCAAGGGUUAAAACCCUGGGGAACCCCAUGCAUCAGUUUGGCUCUAAGUGAGUCAUGCCCAUCUACAGAAAUUUACUGUUCCUUGUUGUUUUAAGUAAUUCUCCAAUAGUUUUAAAGCAGCACAAUGCUUUGCAAAAAAUCAUCACUCUGAAAACCACGUUAAUGAUUGUACAGUUUGCUGCUAUUCAAAUGUUUUUAAACUCCUAAAUAAACAAGUUCUACAAGAAUUUGAACAAAACAGAUGCAUAAAUUACCUGUUUACUGUCUCCUAACCUGCUCUGCCAUUGUGAUUGUCCUGCUGUACUUACCCACCUGUCACCUGUCACCUGCUUCCUGCUACCUCAUACCAAGCAUACUUUCAUUUACAGCAGAAGAAAACCAAAAGUGACCAAGCAGGUGGAAGAAAGGCAAUUCCGAGAAAUGAAGAUGGAGAUCAGGGCAGUGUCACUGUGAUGGGAAGGACGACAGGUGCUUUUCAGGAUCACGAUGGGACGCCUCAGGUGACAUGGGCAGGUUUUAUUGUGGGUUGAAGAAACUCAGUCACAGUCUUACCAGCAGAUGGUGC